rnacentral:misc_RNA from 1 species
AUAUAUAAAAUUCUCUUACCGCUGUUAUCGAUAAUUGCUUUGUGAAUUUCCGACAAUUUUUCACGACUUGUGCGGAUGUUCUUCUAAAGAAUUUAAUUAGAAAUAGCUGGAAACAGGAUUCAAUUGAAAAUACUAUAAACCUUUUGAUUUUCGAUUUCAAUUGUGAAACAGGAAAUCUUAUAGGAUUUUAGGGUUAUUCGCCGUCAAGAGCGCUAAAAAUAACCAUUACAGGUCACAUUGAUUGGUAGGAAUUGAUUAUAAUGGCUAAUAAUAAUUAUGCCGGAUUCAGUUAUGGUGGUACUCAGUACGCUGCGGGAGGUGGAUACAAUCCUGGUCAAGUUGCUUAUCCUGCUGUAACAAACGCAACCUAUGCCAAUGCUGCUGCUUAUCAAUCAGCAGCUGCUGCUGGUCAGAGUGGCUAUGCAGCUGCUGGCGCUUCUGGAGCCGGCGGCUAUGCCGGGUACGGCGACUACGGUCGCGCCAUACCCGCAUAUGACGCUUCUAAGACAUUUUAUCAACAAGCGCCAGCUAGCUACAACACUGCACCAGCAGCUACUGUUAGCAAAACCCAUUAUUCAGCUCCACCUGUAAAGAACAUCAAUAAUACAAAAGCGCCGGGAGCUAAAGACAAGACAAAUGGCGCUGUUAAAACAUCAACGGCUCCGGUAUCUACCACUGCUACACCAGUUAGCGCUUAUACUAACUAUGAGUCAGCUUUGUAUAGUGCAGCAUCAAUGUAUGUUGCUCAACAACAGCAUCAACCCGGCAGCACUAUAAAAUCGAAUGCCAAUGGGGCUGCUGGAGCUGGAUGGCAAUAUCGUGCACCGAAGGGUGCCGCAGGUGGCGCUGCCAGUGCUGCUGCCCGUCCACGAACUAAGCCUCCACCACGGCCACAACAAUUACACUACUGUGAAGUAUGCAAGAUCUCAUGCGCUGGACCUCAAACUUAUCGUGAGCAUUUGGAAGGCCAAAAACAUAAGAAACGUGAAGCAUCAUUAAAAAUGCAAGCUACUGCACAGUCUGCUACACAAAAUCGUGGUAAUAAUUAUCAUUGUGAGCUAUGUGAUGUGACUUGUACUGGUACAGAUGCGUAUGCCGCUCAUGUUCGUGGAGCAAAACAUCAAAAGGUAGUUAAACUUCAUCAGAAACUUGGAAAGCCAAUACCACCAGAUGAGCCGAAGAAGUUAUCAAAGAUUAACUUUGUCCCAGCUAGUGGUACGACCGAGACUGCUGAGAAAACUGAAACUGAAAAUACUAGCGUCACUGAAAAUGGAUAUAUUUCAGAUAACCUAGAUGAUAGUGCUGGGGCGGGAGAAAAUACCGAUAAUAUUAAACCAGUUGGUGGCGAAUAUAUUGAGGAGAUUAAGGACGACGAGGGCAAAAUUCUUAGCUUCAAUUGUAAACUGUGCGAUUGCAAAUUCAAUGAUCCAAAUGCAAAAGAGAUGCACAUGAAGGGUCGUCGUCACCGUCUUCAAUAUAAAAGGAAGGUUCAACCCGAUUUGGUUGUUGAUUUUAAGCCCACACCACGUCAAAGGCGUUUAGCUGAAGCUCGCGCUCAGAGAGCAUUGAUGCAAUCUCACCGCGGCAGCAAUGUAGGUUUCGGCGAUGAACAUGAAAAUAGUGGUGGAAUGUAUUGGGAUGAGCAACGUCGCCGGGCACAGUAUGAUGACGAAUAUGAUUACAGCAAUUGGUUGGCUCGUAGUUUUGCAGGCGCUCAGCGUGGGUUUGGUGGCCGUAUGGGCAAUGGUCCGCCACCUUUCUUUGGAAUGAUGCCUGGUGGUGGUGGUGGAAAUAUUCGCCGUCCUGAGAGUACUGAUGAUCGUCAUGCUAUUGCACGCCACGCUGAAAUUUAUCCCAAAGAGGAAGAAUUGCAAACAAUUCAACGUAUUGUUUCUCACACUGAACGUGCAUUAAAAUUCGUAUCAGAUAAACUUGCUGAGAACCCAGAUGAAAAAGGGAUUGCAGCCAAAAAGGAGAAAGUUGACAAUGCCCAAGUAAAAGAUGGUCGUGAUAAUCAGAUGUUAUCAUUUCAAAAAGAGGCUGAUAGCGGCAAUGUACGCAUUCUUAAGGGUGUAAUGCGCGUAGGAUUUUUGGCCAAAGGCCUUCUAUUACAGGGUGACAAUGCUGUCGAAUUAGUAGUUUUAUGUUCUGAAAAGCCAACUGUUGGAUUGUUGAAACGGGUAGCAGCUGAAUUACCAACCAAACUGAAGGAAGUUGCAGCUCUUCAUCGGAUAUACAUACAUGUUAUUUGAGGUUUGUGAACAGGACAUACAGCUUAACUCUACUUCACUUUUGUUGUGGUGCGGGUACGCAUACUCGGGUACUCCUCCUACAUAGUAACUUUGUUUUCUCGCGCUGUUUAUUGCUGGACUGGAACUUGAACGGUGAGAACCCCGUUGAAUAUGUGGUUGAAGUCGUAGCUCAAGACUCGGCUGUAAUUGUGCGUGACGAUGUGGUGUCUGUUAAGAUAUCGCUGACUUCGCCGUUAUUACGUGAAGCUGCACAAGAUGGUAAAAGUGAUGCUGCCAUUAACGGCGGUACUGGUGAUGCUGCACUUUUGCCACGUGAGCCAUGCCUGAGG